UUUUUAACCUUUAAAGGGAGUUCUAGUGGAAAUUGAAAGAAAUGAAAUAAUGCGGUGGGACCUGCUCAUGGCAAGAAACCAAUAGAUAUUAUUUUAUUACUAUUACUUUCAUUAGGGGAAAAUCGUUCCAACGAGUUUCAGGGUAGAAUGCCUGUCCCCGAUUCCAGCCUGCGUCCUUUCUAGAGAUUGGGUCGUUUCCUGUUAAAGUGUUUCCUGGAACAAUGGGGUUUCCCCUGAUCCAGGGGCCUCGUUCCCUUCCCCAGGAUUAAGCGCCCGCUUCCAGGACUCUUCCUCGAUCAGCCAAGUGUGGUUUAGAAAGAGAAAGAAAAAAGAGGCCGUUCAUAGUUUGUUUCAAGAGCAAAGUAACCUGGGGACUCCAGGUCUCAUUAGGCAGCCUCUGCAGAGUUCCAGAGCAGCGCGAUCCGGAUUCGUACUCAGACUUGUUAGUCACAAGCCAGAAGGCCUGGCCUCUGGGCUGAAGACUCUGGGAACAAAGCACUCUGGGAACAAAGCACUCUCGCGAGAUCUUGGGUUUACUGAAUUAGAACGUGCGACUAGAAUCCAAAAGACGGUGUGGUGAGAUGAUUCAACCACGUACCAAAUGCGGGUACCAGCAAUCAAGCAGCAGAGGGUAUUUAUAAAACACCAGCUGGACGGGGCGCAGUGGUGAAUGCCUGAGAUCCCAUCCCAGCACUUGGGAGGCUGAGGCAGGAGGAUUGCCACGAGUUUGAAACCUGACGACAUAGGCGAUCCUCAUGUAUUCAACAGGGCUACCGGUGCUUCAGUGUAACAAUUAUGUGGCUUCUCAGAGCAGUGGUCUGUACACAGUUCUCGGAGCUGGAUAGGAGCUGAGCCUCACCCCCAGAGAGAAAGAAACUUUAUGUUCCCAUGCUUGUGGCAUUUCUGGGGCUCCAUUGACAGCUGUUUGGCAGCAGGAGCUGUCGUUUCUAAUGGCUAUUAAAGUCAUGUUACCUAACAGCCAUGGCUCGGGGUUGUUAUGAUUCUACUGUGGCUUGGAGCCUCCAGAUCAGCCUAAACAAGCCAUUAGAGGAGCCGGAGUGUAAGCCGAGAGCCAAGCAGCCUCGGCUGACUUCAGAAAAGCAAGGAGACUCGGCGUACAAGUCUAGGAGAAGGGAAGUCAACAAACGGCCUUGAGAUAAAAACUUCCUGACCUCCUCCUUAGUAACAUCUGGACACUCGACGUUCCCAUCACAACGUAGCACAAUGAGCCACUUGUUUUCCAUGUGCUUCUGGAAGCAGAGCCCAGGGCUGCUUUGCACACCUCGUGCUUCUGGCUCUUCAUGCAGCAGUCUUUUCCUAGAAGGUAUGUAAUAGGCAUUUGCAUGGUUAAGUUCCCUCAGCUGACUUGGAGUGUCACGGUAGAAGCAGCCAGUGUUCCUUCCUGGUGAGGGUCGGGUCUAUUUUAACCUCAGUGCCCCUGGGAGCCCCAGGUAAGCAGUGGGUGCAGAAUGAGUGCUCUGCACAUGCGUCCUGAUGGCCCCCACACUCGGGGGGGAAAGGACGGCUUCAGAUGUCUGAUGCAGACUGGCAGGUUUAUCAGACGACGAGAGAGGGCUGCCUGCGCCGCAUAUCUGAGGGUAUGGAGUGCACAGUGUGAGGUCAAGAGAGUAAAUGUGUAUUUCUGUCACUUGGACACAUACCAGGUCGCUUGGAUGUGAUGGGAAUUGUGCCUGCUAACGUGGCAAAUUCUCCCCCUGGCAGGAGGGCCCAAGUUUGCUGGCUGCCUACGCUAGCAGACUGGCAGAACCCAAGGCAUCCGGGGUACAGCUGUCAGAGCAAGAACAAAGGUGGUGCGAAUUCCUGAUGAGGGGGGACCUUGUGCUCAGGGCAUCUGCAGUGUUUAAUCUAGAAAGAAGGAAAGUGGUGGUGGGCCACAGUUGGGAGGUGGGCCAUGCUGCUGUGGGCAGCAGGAGGCUGAGAGCCAACUGCCCUUGCUAGUUCUGUGACCUUUCUCUAUCAGCCCCAGGCUAACACUAGAGCUUCUUGGGCUCAAAAGUUGUUUGUGAAUGGGACUUGUUCAAUAUCAAUGGGGUUGGGCCUUUAACCCAUUUUUGCCUAUGAGAAAAGUAGAGAGAGAAAGGCAGGCGUGUGCACAUUCAUACAAACAACAUUUAAUAGUUCUUCAUAUUUGAAUAGGAGCUUCAUUCGUCUUUGAUACAACACACUGAACUCUGUCACACACACACAUAUGACAUACAUAGUAUCUAAAAUGCAUAACUUCAACCUAAUCACAAAAUGUACCAGGCAAGGCCAAACUGAGAGAUGUACACAAACUGGCCAAGCAAUGCUGUCCUGAGGGUCAAGGCCAUGAAAUACAAGAAGAGUAAAGAACUAUUAAGGGAUAUCAUGGAGGGACCAAGGCAGUGGUUCUCUGCCUUCUAAUGCUAUGACUCAUUUUCUUUUUUAAAAACUAUACCUUCACCUAGAUUUUAAAAAAGAUUUAUUUGUUUACUUAUUUAAUGUACGAGUGAUCUAUUGCAUGUACACCAGCUUGCUAGACCAGGGCAUCAGAUCCUAUUAUAGAUGGGCUGGGAACUGAACUCAGGACCUCUGGAAGAGCAGCCAGUGCUCUUGACCGCUGAGCCAUCUCUCCAGCCCCGCUAUGACUCUUUAAUACAGCUCCUUGUGUUGUGGUGACCCCCAACCAUAAACUUAUUUCGUUGCUACUUCCUAAAUGUAUUUUGCCACUGUUAUGAAUGAUAAUAUAGAUAUCUGCUAUAAGAUGCUAUAUUUGUGAGCCCCCCCACUCCCCUGAAGGGACUGAGACCCACAGGUUGAGAACCACUGGAUUCAGGAGUCAUGCUAAUGAAAGAAAGCCGGAUCUAAAACGCAAAAGGGAGGUAGGGGUCUAUAAAUUAGUUAAAAUUAUUGGGUGAGUGUUACGUUUCUGGCUUUUAAAUUUAAAUUUAAAAUGUUGGCCUUAUAAGAGACGUGGGGGGAGACUCUAUAGACAUUCUCCUGUUUUGGUUACUUGUUUUCAUAUCCAAAGUUACAUUAACAUUUUUAAAUUAUAUUUGCUGGUAUGUGUGCGCACCUGUGCAUGUGCAUGUGAGUGCGCGCGUGCGCGCGUGUGUGUGUGUAUGUGUGUGUGUGCACCUGUAGGGAGUUCUGGAGAUGAGUUUUAAGACUCAGUCCUCGUAGUCUACCAUGUCGGUCUCCUGGAUUGAACUCAGGUUGUCAGUUCCAUUGUCAAACACCUCUACCCACUGACCCAUCUUUGUGAGCUCCUAAGGUGACUUUAAUGUAAAAACGUUAACGAAUUUGGCAUGACACUAGUUAAAGUAUCCCUCGUGUCACAUUGUUGAUACGUGGAUAAACGAGAGAGCAUGCAUUCAAUAAUUCGCAGCUUUGCACGGCAUCCCUUACACACUUAGUGGGAGCUCGGGCUUCAGCAUCAGAUGAGCGCCAGGUGCUGGGAUUAGCCCUCCCCUGCUGGAAGCCGUCCAGGCAGCUGAAGCCUGUUUGUGAAUCUGUCUUCACACAGGCACACUUGGGGUGAUCUGUCAGUCUCAGGAGCCAGAGCCUAUGGGACAAGAUCCUUAAACUAGGAUUUCCCUAAGAAUCUAGGCUUUCCAUGGACAUUCAGGUCCACUGUUGGAUUCUUGGUUUUUUUGUUUUGGUGUGUUUGGCAGAACUGGGGGUUUGAACACAGGACCCCAUGAGUGCUCUAUGAUACAAGCCCCAGCCCUCACUGCUGGAUUCUUAAUAAGUCAUAAAGUUAGAAGAUGGUUUAGAUAUUCACUGUAGUCGGAAAGAUGAAUCUUUAGUUAUUUUUAUCUAAAAUAUACGCAAUAUUAUAUGUAUAACACACACACAUUUGUUUUCAAGACAGGGUUUCUCCGUGUACCCCUGGCUGGCCUUUGGUCUGUAUACCAGGCUGGCCUUGAACUCAGUGAUCCGACUGUCUCUGCCUCCGAAGUGCUGGGAUUAAAGGCAUUCACUGCUGCUACUCUGCAAGCCUCUGGCUACUUUUAAAGGGGCAUUCACAUUUCACAUUCGCAGCAACCAAUUCUAGUCUUUCCUCAAUUUUUGCUUCUGGCAUCCUUCUCUUCAAAUAAAAAAAAUAUCUACAUAUACAUAGUGAACAAAUACCGACGGCCAAAAGCAAUAGGUACAUUGAAGAUCAAAGUUUGGGAGACAAGGGGUUAGAAUCAGAAGGGAGAACACAUGGUUCGUUACAAAGUAACUUGACCAGGGGCCACAUCAAAACCACGGUGGGAGCUGCACCUUUAGGGCAGAGGCAAGCACUUGCUUCCCAUGCCCUUAAAGCAACUUUGCCUACAGUAAGUGAGGGAUCCAGUGAAUUGCAAGGCAAUUUCAUUCUUUAAGCGCCUCAAUUUUGCCCAUCAUCUACAUAAACAGUUAAAUUAAAAUAUGCAUACAAGUUCAAAAGCCGAUUUCAGGAGCAGAACACCGGGUAGGAAGGAAUAACUCCUCUUAGCAGCCACUCAAUAAUUGCUUCACGAGGAUCAAUUAUACACUAUUGCUAAUGCACACUUGG